GACGAACGCUGGCGGCGUGCUUAACACAUGCAAGUCGAACGGAAAGGCCCUGCUUUUGUGGGGUGCUCGAGUGGCGAACGGGUGAGUAACACGUGAGUAACCUGCCCUUGACUUUGGGAUAACUUCAGGAAACUGGGGCUAAUACCGGAUAGGAGCUCCUGCUGCAUGGUGGGGGUUGGAAAGUUUCGGCGGUUGGGGAUGGACUCGCGGCUUAUCAGCUUGUUGGUGGGGUAGUGGCUUACCAAGGCUUUGACGGGUAGCCGGCCUGAGAGGGUGACCGGCCACAUUGGGACUGAGAUACGGCCCAGACUCCUACGGGAGGCAGCAGUGGGGAAUAUUGCACAAUGGGCAGAAGCCUGAUGCAGCAACGCCGCGUGCAGGAUGACGGCCUUCGGGUUGUAAACCGCUUUCGCCUGUGACGAAGCGUGAGUGACGGUAAUGGGUAAAGAAGCACCGGCUAACUACGUG
rnacentral:rRNA from 1 species